GUAGGUGGCAAGCGUUGUCCGGAAUUAUUGGGCGUAAAGCGCGCGCAGGCGGUUUCUUAAGUCUGAUGUGAAAGCCCACGGCUCAACCGUGGAGGGUCAUUGGAAACUGGGGAACUUGAGUACAGAAGAGGAAAGUGGAAUUCCACGUGUAGCGGUGAAAUGCGUAGAGAUGUGGAGGAACACCAGUGGCGAAGGCGACUUUCUGGUCUGUAACUGACGCUGAGGCGCGAAAGCGUGGGGAGCAAACAGGGAUUAGAUACCCUGGUAGUCCACGCCGUAAACGAUGAGUGCUAAGUGUUAGAGGGUUUCCGCCCCUUUAGUGCUGCAGCUAACGCAUUAAGCACUCCGCCUGGGAGUACGGUCGCAAGACUG
rnacentral:rRNA from 1 species